CUGAUCCUUUCUUUGUCAGUGGGCAAACGUACAAAACCAGCAGGGGAUCAAAUACUUUCCCCCCCCACUGUACAUUGUGGAUAGUGUGUGCGCAUGUUUCAUUUUAUUUUUCCUUGUCAGCCACCCAUCUCUGCUUUGUCAGUCUUGAUAGCCUCACCCAGAAGACACUGGGCCUGUCAGGCAGUGGUGGAGAACAUGGCAGAUCUGAAAGAGAGCUGCACAAAGUGACACUAUGGAACCCUGACCUGCUCAAGGCUCACCAGAGGUACUACCUUGUCCCAGGCCCGCUGUUUGAACCUGUCUCUACCGGACCUACUGUCUCAACCUCUAAAUGCUCAGCUAUGAAGAGCCAACUGGCAUUUACUCCUGAGGUGCUGAACUAUUGCACCCUCUACAACCACUGUGAUUAUUAUGAUUGGAUCCUGCUGGUCAUCUAUGAAUGUUUGAACAUCUUGAAGAAUAAUCUGGCUAAAUGGCUGUACUCUUUUAUAAUAUCCAUCAGCAAAGCCAGAAGAGGACUGGCCACCCCUCAGAGCCUGGUUCCUCUCUAGGUUUCUGCCUUUUAGGACGUUUUUCCUAGCCACAGUGCUUCUACGUCUGCAUUGCUUGCUCUUUGGGGUUUUAGGCCAGGUACCUGUAUAAGCACUUUGACAACUGCUGAUGUAAAAGGGCUUUAUAAAAGACAUUUGAUAGAUUGCUUGUAUAUGCUUCUAUUCAUGUCAGUAACUCUAAAUAUGACAUUUAGUUGCCUUACAUUUCCUCAAUAGGAAGUUGUACCUUAAGCCAACACUUUUCUCCUGGUCUUUCCUGCUGGGGACAGGGGGCUUCAGGUUUGGGAAUGGAGCCUAGAGAAAUGGAAUAUUAGCAAUAAUUAGUGUCCACAUUUCUGAAUGAAUGAAAUUCCAUAUGGGUUAGCUGUGUAUCUCAUCUGAUUGACAAUUGUUGAUGAUAUACUGUAUAUGUCUAUUUUCUUUAGAAAAUCUGCCACCAAACCACACACUUAUAUCUAGUGAUUGUUCACACUACCAUUAUCUUAUUUGACCAAAUCAAAAAUAACACAAUUUUGUCAAUGGACCCAACGAAUAACAAAACAGUAGGAAGGCUAUUGUUGCUGUAUACUGUACCCUACCCCAUCAAACUACUACUAGCUGGUCACAAGGCUACAUUGUUAUCAUUUAGUAAUGUUGUACUGUAAUCUACUGCACCCCAUAUCAACCAACUAGUAGUGACAAGGCUAUAUUGUUGUCAUUCAGUAAUACUGUAACGGUACUGUGGCCCACAACAAAUUAUUAUCCACCUAGCUAGCUAGUGAUAGCUUAGCUAGCUCAAAAUAAACCAUCAGUGAAUGACAACAUACUUUUAAAGGAAAUAUCUAUCUAGCAUGUAUGAUUGCAUGUAACACAACAUUGCAAAGUUUGAACGCAAAGUUUACUGACCAGUAUGCUGUUCUCUCUCGGGAACUAGAGUGAGGGCGGCAUCCAAAUAUGAGGUUAGCUAGCGCCGUUACCGUGGUUAGCAUUAGCUAUGUAAGUAUCUAUCCAGCAACAAUGUCGAGGUCAAAAAACAAAA